UCAUCGGUGGUUCAGUGGUAGAAUGCUCGCCUGUCAUCCGGGUGGCCUGGGUUCGAUUUCCGGCCGAUUCU
rnacentral:tRNA from 1 species